UACAGAGGGUGCGAGCGUUGUUCGGAAUUAUUGGGCGUAAAGGGCGCGUAGGCGGUACGGUAAGUCACCUGUGAAAACUCUGGGCUUAACUCAGAGCCUGCAGGCGAAACUGCCGUGCUGGAGGGUGGGAGAGGUGCGUGGAAUUCCCGGUGUGGCGGUGAAAUGCGUAGAUAUCGGGAGGAACACCUGUGGCGAAAGCGGCGCACUGGACCACUACUGGCGCUGAGGCGCGAAAGCUAGGGGAGCAAACAGG
rnacentral:rRNA from 1 species